AUGGAUCCGCGGUGCAGCCAGCAGUGGGAGAGCUCGAUGGAGGACGUGUCGACGCCGCUGCUGCCUCUGCAUGACGACGGCAGGACGGACGGGCGCUCGUGCUCGGCCCUGGCGUCGCUGCUCGCCAACAAGUACCUCGCGAUCGCGGCGGGGCCGCUGGCGUCGGCGCUCAUCUGCGCAUUCGUGGACUUCGGCCACGGGCGCGCCGCGGCGCGCAACAUGCUGGGCGUGCUGGCGUGGGUGUUCAUCUGGUGGCUCACCGACGCCGUGCCGCUCGGCGUGGCGUCCAUGGCGCCGCUGUUCCUCUUCCCGGCGUUCGGCAUCUCCUCCUCGGACGCCGUCGCCAAGGCCUACAUGGACGACGUCAUCUCCCUCGUCCUCGGUAGCUUCAUCCUGGCGCUCGCCAUCGAGCACUACAACAUCCACCGCCGCCUCGCCCUCAACAUCACGUCGCUCUUCUGCGGGGACCCGGUGAGGCCGCCGCUGCUGCUGCUGGGCAUCUGCGGCACCACCAUGUUCAUCAGCAUGUGGAUUCACAACACGCCCUGCACCGUCAUGAUGAUGCCGGUGGCGACGGGGAUCCUGCAGCGGUUCCCGCGCGGCCAGGCGGCGUCCUCGUCCGCCGACGCGCACGAGGUCCGGCGGUUCUCCAAGGCGGUGGUGCUCGGCGUCAUGUACGCGUCCACCAUCGGCGGGAUGUCGACGCUGACGGGCACGGGCGCCAACAUCAUCCUGGUGGGGAUGUGGUCCACCUACUUCCCCGAGCAGCGGCCCAUCACCUUUAGCUCCUGGAUGUCUUUCGGCUUCCCCGUCGCGCUUGUACUGUUCGCGGCGCUCUGGGUCACGCUCUGCCUCAUGUACUGCUCCAGCAACACCGGAAGAGCGCUGUCGGCUUACCUCGACAGGACCCAUCUCAGGAGGGAGCUCAGCUUGCUUGGUCCAAUGGCUUUUGCAGAGAAGAUGGUUCUAGCCGUUUUUGGAGGCCUAAUUGUGCUGUGGAUGACGAGAAGCCUGACGAACGACAUCCCUGGGUGGGGAGUCCUCUUCCACGGCAAAGUCGGGGAUGGAACAGUCACCAUCAUGAUGACCACUCUGCUCUUCAUAAUCCCCAACGGCAAGGGCGGCGGCGAGAAGCUCAUGGACUGGGGCAAGUGCCGGAAGCUGCAGUGGAACAUCAUCCUCCUCCUCGGCGCGGGUUUCGCCAUCGCCGAGGGCUUCAAGGCGAGCGGCCUGACGGACAUACUCUCGGAGGGGCUGGGAUUCCUGAGGGGCGCGCCGCCGCUGGUGAUCGCGCCCGUGGCGUGCGUCUUCAGCGCCGUCAUCACGGAGUUCACGUCAGACGACGCGGCCACCACCCUGGUCCUGCCGCUGCUGGCGGAGCUGGGAAACACCAUCGGCGUGCACCCUCUGCUGCUCAUGGUCCCCGGUACGGUCGGCGCGCAGCUGUCCUACCUGCUGCCCACCGCCUCGCCGCCCAACGUCGUCGGGUUCGGCACCGGCUACAUCACCAUCAAGGACAUGGUGCUCACCGGAAUACCCAUCAAAGUGGUGGGCGUUGCAACUCUCGCCGUCCUACUUCCAACUCUAGGUUCUGUGGUUUUUGGCAUGGAUCAGAAGUUGUAG
rnacentral:rRNA from 1 species